UCCCAUCAAGCCAAGUUCCCGGAGGAGAACUUUUUUCAAUGGGCUCCCCAACGACAAGGCGACAAUGGAUUCGUAUGUCAUCCAUAUCAACUUUCGAUGCCAUUUACUGUGCCUACCAUGGUGACCACGGGUAACGGGGAAUCAGGGUUCAAUUCCUGAGAGGGAGCUACCACAUGCAAGGAAGGCAGCAGGCACGCAAAUGACCCACUCCCGAUGAGGGAAGGUAGUGACGA